AGGUGUUACAAAAAGUAUUGACACAUUAUUUCCCAAUAAAGUGCCUUUGGUCGGGUUCUUCGUUUUAUUUUCACAGUAUAAAAUUUUUGUAAUCAUACAAAAGUACAUAUGUACUACUAAAUAAUACGAAAUUAAAAUUUGUAAAGGGAAACAAGUAACUUUAAUUUCCUACUCUAUUUCGCAACAAAAAAAAAUCUUCGACAAAAUUAACAUUUAAGGGCGUGAAAGUAGACGAUUCGUCCUUUGAAACGAGCCCAAGUAGAGUAUUGUACGAUUCUUAUUGACAAAGUUACAGUGGUUCAAAUAUCGAGUUUGAAAGUUUUCGAUCAAAAUUUAAAGAUCUUUUCAUUUUUUGGCGUAGUGUAUACGUAUAUAUUCGAGGAUCGUAGCAGGGUUGACUUGAACGUCUUUGAAAUUUGGAAAGAACGACGAAUGAAUAGCAUUAAAGUCAGUUUGAAUUUUCUAACAGUGAUAUUGUAUAUACGAUCCUGAAUGCAACCUAACCCUAAUCAAUAGAUUGAGACACGAACCGCUAAUCAUCAGCCAUAAAGAUUACAACAAUCUUUUCAAUAGUUCGCUAUUAUCCAUGUAUAUUUUACACGAUAUUUGUCAAACCUACGAUUCUUUAUACGAUGGCUAAACUGUAAUUCUAUAGUAUACCUGGAUACCAAGACAUAUCGGUUGCAAUUUGAGAUACAUUCACAUUGAGUAAUUGCGCAGGGUAUCUGUCUGUUUUUUACUUUUCAAUCGGUGUAUAUUUACAUAUCGGUGUUUUGUUAUAACACACAUUUAACGCGUUCUCUAACGCGUUUAAUUAAUAUUUUUCAUUCCACCUUCCCCAUUUCUUUGUCUUACAGGUGGUUUGGUUAUCGAUUUGGUUUCGUGCUAGUCGAAUAGCAAAAAUCUUCUUCAGAAAGAUCACAGUGCAAUCUGCUACUUGAGUUUUACGAUAUCAAAUUUUCUCUAGCCAUAUGUAUGUGUUGCAAUGCCGGUUCGUUGCAAACCUUCUAUGCAAUACGCUGGUCUUUGGUCGACGGACACUUGAUACCAAGUUUUUGGUGAAAAAAUGUUUCAAGUUAACUAUCUGGACAGGAUUACAAGAGGUUACGUAUAAAUAGGCUGACAAAUCCACUAGAUGCAUUCAAUUCGUUUGUUGUUUCCAAUCGGUGAAGAAAGCAGCUCCUACCUAUCAUCAUCAUGUUUAGAUUCUUGGUGAUUUGUGGUUGCUUGCUGGCGGUUGGACAAGCUGGCGUGAUCGGCGGUGGUUUGCUCGCAACCGCGCCCGCAGCGGUCGCGGUGCAGCCAGCGGCAGCAGCGGCUCUUCCUCUGUCCACUGCAGCAGCCCUUCCCCUGCCCACAGCCGCGCUCGCCGUACCAACUAUCGCAACAUCGACCUCUAACGUGAUACGGGGUAUCGGUAACUUAGGUGCCAUAUCGGCCUACGCGAAGAGCGUAGAUACGCCGUUCAGUAGCGUCAGGAAAGCGGACGUGCGCGUUAACAAUCCUGGAAUCGUGACGGCGACCGCUGUGCCCGCGCCGGUAGUUGCGGUCGCAAAUACCGCUCUUGCAGCUCCAGUGGCUACAGCAGCUGUUGCCGCUCCUGCGCUUCUCGCACCUGGACUGACCACUGCAAUCGGAGCUGCACCCGCUCUCACCGCUGGUUUAACUCCUCUGGGGCUUAACGGGCUUGGAGCUUUGCAGGGAUUAGGAGCCGUCAAGGUUCUUUAAGGUCCACACGCUGGAACCACUACGAAGCGGCGGAGGACUCGACUAAAACCACGACCGAUUAUGAAACACGUUCAGACAUUCGUGUCGAUGGCGAAUCGUUUUUACUACCUAAACGAUCAACUUUGUCACAGAAUGCCUAACGUAUUCGCGAAUCCAAGUCAGAUAAUAGCGAUUACUUCGUGGGAAUAGACCUAUGCCAAGUGGUAAUCAUAUAUCUGAACAUUGUUGUAUGAUUGCAAUGGAUUCUUCGAUUUACGUACUAUGUGUAUUCUCGUU